UGGAAGAAGUCACAUAAAGGAAUUCAUAUUAAAUUUCCUGAGUUGAAUGAGGAGGAAUCAGCAAUCAGUGCUGCGAGUGUUCCCUGAAUCAGACGUAUAUACGUUGUUCUUCUUGGAGAACUUGAGAGCGCUGAAGGAGACCCUCAUCCUCUCCACCGU